UACGUAGGGGGCGAGCGUUGUCCGGAAUUAUUGGGCGUAAAGAGCUCGUAGGCGGUUCCUUAAGUCGGGUGUGAAAUCUCAGGGCUCAACUCUGAAACUGCACCCGAUACUGGGGAACUUGAGGCAGGUAGGGGAGAUCGGAAUUCCUGGUGUAGCGGUGAAAUGCGCGGAUAUCAGGAGGAACACCGGUGGCGAAGGCGGAUCUCUGGGCCUGUUCUGACGCUGAGGAGCGAAAGCGUGGGGAGCAAACAGG
rnacentral:rRNA from 1 species